CUCCUCCUCUUUUUGGAGAGAUGCAAAGCAGUGUGAACAUGCUUUUGUAAUUAAUACUUUUUAUUGAUGCGCCCGGUCACUAGAUGUGACAUCUUCCUGUCUGAUCUCUUUUUGGUCUUUGGCCAUGACAAAGGGUAGCUCUGUAGCUGUUUCUCUGUUGCGGACAUCUAUUAAAAAUCAUGGGCAGAUUUUAAAAUGUAUUGCUUUAAGAGACAUGCUAUUAAAGCACUAUCCAGCAACAAUGACACCCAAGUUAAUUAGUUGUGAAGAUUUCUAUGUUCAACUUGCAAAGGAAUAAUAUCUAGUUAACUUUGUAAAAUCAGUGAAAUAACCCUUAAUCCCUACUCAUCAUGAUUCACACUCAUGCACUCAGACAUGCUCAUGUUCCCUCUCUCACACACACACACCUCUGACAAAGGAUCAAAUUAUGACAAAAACUGAUCUAUGACAAGUAAUUCAUUAUCAUCAGUGGACAAUGUUACCCAAAAGAUGGCGAUAAAGGGUAACUUAGUUGACAGGUAUGAUUUCACCAUUUUGAAUCAAUUUCAGUGGCAGGCCAAGAACAUAAUUUUCUUGAUCAAGUGAACCUCAAAUUUGAAUAUAUAUUGGAAUUAAUAUCAUAAAAAUGUUAACCAUUGCAAUCCAUAAUGUACCCAACAUAGUUGAAGGUCAAUGAAUAUACUCCUUGAAAAUAGGUUAUUGUAAGUGUAAAAGAAAAAAAAGGGAAUUAAAUAAAUAAUAAAAAUCUUAAGUAUUUAGAUUUUAGAAAUAAAUAUAGAUAAUUUUUAAAAAAAAAUUUUAUUCAUUAUUUUGAACUCAAGACCCACUCACUUAAAAAAAUUGACAUUGCAAAAACUGUCAAUUAAAAAACAUCAAGGCAAUUUCAAGCAAACUGAAACACAGGGUGCACAAAAUAUUUGAGAUUAUAAUAUACUUCCCCUUAAUUGAUAAAAUAGGAUAUUUCUGAAGAAAAAUAUGAAAUCACAGGACAUGAAAUGUACCCAAAACUGCAGAAUGACUCAUAUCUUAAUGUGAUCCAUACUUGUCAUUAAUACUUUUUUUUUUUUUUUUUUUUAGAGAUAGCCUUCAUUAGCACAAUAAAACAAAGAAUCACAUUUUUAUACAUGAAGGAUAGAUGUGGAUGGCUUUAGGGAAAGGUAUACUGGACUACACACCUACAGCAGGGUUUUCCAUUGUUCUUUUAGAGAUUGGCUUAUGAGAGUGGAGUGAACUCCUGUCAGACUCAGCUGUCAGAUCUGUGUGUACCACAGACUGAUGCUGGGGCUGUGGUGUUUGAGCCUCACUCUCUGGCAAGGCUUCUGGAGAGCUUUGACUCUGCAGCAGAUGAUUAUGUGUGCUGGUGCAUGCUAUACUGCUUUUACCAAGCUUUUUCUGCACACUAUCAAAUUCUGGAAAACAAUCUUCAUGAACAACUGAAUCAGUUCAUAUAUUGAUAAUCAACAACCAAAUCACAGGAGGCAGUUUGUUUUGUUUUCAUGGCUUCACCUUUGAGUGGUACUUGACUAACGUGAAGUUCCUGAAUUUGUGUUGUUUUGUCAUGGCUUUGUUGUGAGGUAUGAUCUCUUUCUUUUUCAGCUUCCACAGACUCUGGUGGUGACCUCACCAUUUCUGGAGCACAGAAAGACAUGAAGGACAUGAGCAUGUGAAAUGUGACCAUGAUAGCUUAUUGAAACAUCUAUGGGGCUGUAAUUUGUGGUUGUACAACUACCAUUGCUUCUCUGAUUCUGGCCUGCAAGGCAUGAUGGCUGGGAGCUCUCAUCCAAACAUGGUCCAAACAUCCUCUGUAGUAUUUCAAUUGCUAAAAUAUGCAAAUACAGAACCAGCUGAUAAACAUAUGACAUGGUGAUACACAUUUGCAUUUACUAUGCAUCUAACCAUCUAAGAGAGUUAGUUAUUAAACCUUUUGUUCUGCUAAACGCUAUAUCACUAAAAGUAUGUGGACAUGUGACCAAUCACAUCCAUAUGUGCUUGUUGAACAUCCCAUUCCAAAGUUAGUCCCUCUUUGCUACUACAAUAACCUCCACUCAUCUGGUAACGCUUUCCACUCGAUUUUGGAGUGUGGCUGGAUUUCUGCCCAUUCAGCAACACGAGCAUUAGUUAAGUCAGGCACUGAUUUUGGAUGAUAAAGUCUGACAUGCAAUCGGCGUUCCAGUUAAUCCUAAAGGUGUUCAGUGAGAUUGAGGUCAGGGCUCUGUGCGGGCCACCAUAAUUCUUCUACACCAACCCUGGCAAGCCAUAUCUUUCUGGACCUCGCACUGUGCACAACAAUGAUGGAACAGGUCUGGGCCUCUUAGUUCCAGGAAAGCAAAAUUAUAAUGCUACAGCAUACAAAGACAUUCUUGACAAAUGUGUGCCUCCAACUUUGUGGCAACAGUUUGGGGAAGAAUCACACAUGGGUGUGAUAGUCAGGUGUCCACAUACUUUUGGUGAUAUCUUGCAUAUACAAACACAUACAUGCACACACUAACCUUCAUGGAAGUCUGCAGAACGCAGAGACUCGUGCUGGUUUUGGUUCAGCUUGAUGACCUGUACAAUAAAAACACUGGGGUCUGAGGUCUAUAUUAUGGUCUAGUGCAGAGAACGUUAAAGGAAAGCAGUUAUACAGUUAAAGGAAUACAAUUUGGUACUGCAGGCCUUAUAUCAAAGGAAUCAGAGCAGUAUAUACACUCACCAAACACUUUAUUAGGAACGCUUUACUAAUGAUAUAUACUAUACUUUAGAGCAGGGCCUCCCUCGGCUCUUAAAAAAAAGCCUCGAUUCCACAAGAUGUUAGAAACAAUCCUUUGAGAUUCUUGUACAUGUUAACACACAAUUCCUUCAGAUUUUUCAGGUGCACUUUCAUACUGUGAAUCUCCUGUUCUACCAGAUCCCAAAGAUGUUCUACUGGAUUCAGAUCUGGUGACUGGGAAGGCCACUGAAGAAAACUGAACUCAUUGUCAUGUUCAUAAAACCAGUUUGAGAUGAGUUUUGCUUUGUGACAUGGUGCAUUAUCAUGGUGGAAAUAGCCAUUAAAAGAUGGGUAAAUUGUGGACAUGAAAGGAUCCACAUGGUCAGCAACAAUACUCCAGUAGGCUGUGGCAUUCAAGUGAUGGCUGUUUGGUAUUAAUGGGCCCCAAAGUGUGAAAACAUUACACCACCUUGACCAGCCUGGACUGUCGACACAAGCCAGGCUGAGUCCAUGGAUUCAUCCUGUUGUUGCCAAAUUCUAGAGAUUUAUAUCUAUAGAGAUUCAUCAGACCUGGUGAAGUUUUUCAGUAUUCAGCUGUCCAGUUUUGGUGAGCCUGUACCCAGUGCAGCCUCAGAUUUAUGUUCUUGGCUGACAGAAGCAGAACCCGACGUGGUCUUGUGCUGUUGUAGCUCAUUCGCCUUAAGGUUCAAUGAGUUGUGCAUUCUCAGACUCUUUUCUGCUCACCACAAUUGUACAGACUGGUUAUGUGGGUUACUGUAGCCUUUCUAUCAGAUCAAACCAGUCUGGUCAUUCUCUGCUGACCUCUUUCAUAAACAAGGCGUUUCUGUCCGCAGAACAUCAACAGACAAAAUGUCCUUUUGAUUUCUUUAUGACAUCAUUCUGAGUAAACUCUAGAGACUGUUGUGCGUGAAACUCCCAGGAGAUCAGCAUUUACUCAAAUACUAAAACCACCUGUCUGGCACCAACAAUCAUGCAACGGUCAAAAACAACGAGGUCACAUUUUCCCCCCAUUCUGAUGGUUGAUGGGAACAUUACCUGAAGCUGCUGCUGGCCCAUUGAUUUUAUGCAUUGCACUGCUGCCAUAUGAUUAGAUAAUGGUAUGAAUUAAUAAAUGAAAGUGUACAGGUGUUCCUAAUAAAGUGCUCAGUGGGCGUGUGUGUGUCUCCGUGUCUCCUAAAAUUGAAUAUCAGACAAAAUUUUCAUUUCUUCAAAGAAGCAGUCUGAAGAUUAAUACGCUAGAUGGCAUACCUUAGCAUCUAACCCCUUCUCUGCCAAGUCACGAACGGUCAUCUGACGAAUGGUCUGCCACUGCUGAGAUAGCUCAUGAUACUGAGUGCUCUAAAAUAACAGCAUAUGCAAACAUAUUUAAUGCAAAACUAACGUAACAUUUUGAGCAUAUUCUUAUUAAGCAUAACGGGCCAUAUUCAGAGCAGAGUGUUAAUAUGAAUAUUAACACUCUAGAACUCACAAUGGACAAGUGUUGGUGCCGUUCACUGGUCAUAUGGGCACAAAAGUUCUUGUUGCUAACAUUCUCAGCACAGUUUAGACACAGGAAAAAAGUUGGCUGUGAAAUACCUCGGCACUCCAAUAUAUUAGACAGACCUGCAAAUACAAAUAAGCUAAAUUUCACACAAACAAAUUUUUUCCCCCAUAGACACAAUGGCACACUAAUGAAAAGAUUCAUGCACACGUACCUAUAAUUGGAACGGUGUUAGGAAGUCCCUUCACAUGUAGAAACCAGGAGGCGUGACUCUGUCCCAGCACUGUGAUAAAAUCGACAAUACUUGAUUAUAAAAAACGUCGUCAACGAAUCUCAUUAUCGAUUAGUUGGUCCGUGCGUGGUCCAACUAAUCUGAAACCACGCUACAUAUAUAUUUUUUGGGGGGUGGGGGUUUAAAUGUAUCAAAACGUAUUCAAAUGAGAUGUUUUAAAAUUGAUCAAUUCGGUUAUUCGCAAAUAUCAUGUCAGCUGAGCUGAUGAUCGUUCAUUGAUGGAUUUAUUUUAAAUUUAUUUACAAAUGAAAUGAUAAUUUGCAAAAACCUGAGUGGUAGACAAGUUCAAGUGUUGCAUUGAUGGAUAAAAUAAACAAAGGAUAAUUAAGAGAGUGAAAUUAAAUGUCACACCAACAAUAAAAUGUAAAAAAUGUAAUCUUGAAAUGUUUUGAUUCAAUUUUAAUGUUAAUAUUAUUAAUGUUAAAUAUUAAUAAAAUAAAGCAACAUAUAUAGAAAUGACUGUUUAAUAUAUAGCCUAUAAUUGUUGUGGAGUGAGGGGGUCCUUGUGGAAAGUUCGAAAUAUUCUAGGGUCCAAAGCUCACAAAAGGUUGAAAACCACUGGUCUAGUGUAUAAAAUUUAGAAAGGUAAUAUCAUCUCAAAUGAAAUACAUUCGUUUUUUUUACUAACCUGAAAGUUUGCCCCCAUCUGAUUAAUCACAAAAAAUUAAUUGGCCAACUAAUCGAUUAUGAAAAUAGUCAUUAGUUGCAGCCCAAGUAUACGCCAUUCAAUAAAUGCGAAAUAAUGGAAAUAAAGCUGAUGCUUAUAUGCAUAAACUGCGCAGGCUACUGGAAAUGCUAAGGAUCUGAAAAAAGUGACAAACCUGUGGGUAGGUUUGGAAAAUAGUAAUUUUUUGAUGGUCUAGUGUCAUGUCGAAGUUCGCUUUCAUUUCUCAGGACGGACUGGCGAUACGCUGCACAUACAGACACAACGUUCAAAUUCAAUCAGAAACUAAAUACUUACAUUAAACAUCAGUUAGAACAUUAACAGAAUUAUUAAUACAUUCUUCUUCUAAUUACUGAAAGCAUUUGGAGUUUGGAGAAGGGGAGGAAUAAAUUUUGGAGAAGAGGGAGCAUAAAGAGCAGAUACAUAUAUACAGGAAAGGUAUGACACUGUUACUAAGGAAACAAAACAUCAUUGGCAUAGUCAGUUCAGUAUUCUAAAUCAUAUUAAUGGGAUGUUUUUAAUUUAUUAAGCUAUACAAGCAGAACGGAUCAGUCUCAAUCUUAACCUAAGAAUAUUCAACCACCCCUGUCUGAAUACAUUCAGACUGACUGAAGUGGCUGCACAUUGCAUAGCAGUAAAAUGCAGACUUACUGAGCUUCGAUCCACUAGCACCUUCGGACUCUGCAUAUGAAGUUGAGGCAACUGGCCCUGUUUCAGGAUGAACAAGACCUGCAACUAGAACAAUGAUGAAUGAUGAAUUAGAGAUCACUAAUGGCAUUUUCCCCACUAGGAAUACAGUCUGUGAAAAGGGCUAUUCGGACGGGAACAGAUUUAUAAGGGAUAAUCCCGUGCGAACUGGUCAUGCCGGAUAUUUUUCCGGACUGCGCUUUCCCAUGCCCGUGAAGAUUACAGCAUCUUUUACAUUUUAUAAAACGGCCUUUAAAAAUAACCCCAGGUUAAACUAAUCACGUGCGAAUGCGCACUCUAUUUUUUUAGGUAGUCGAUUCAUUCUCGGCAUUUAAGUCCUGUCGCCAAACGGCACUUUGACAGAGGGACCUUUAUCGCAAACUUUUUCGAAAAAUCUCCUCCCAAACAGAAUGAUUACAUAUCAUUUGUUCAAACAGCGUUUCAUAAUGUCGUUCUCCCCAAACUGAAACUAAACAAAGUUUCAGCUCUCGUCCAAAUGCGUCGUUUCUUUUGCUUCAUCAGUGCCGUGAUGCUGUAUUACCAAAUACUGAGGUGCAGCACCAUGUUACGCAUGACACACGGGGCUGAUGUGAUGGGCAGGCAGCAUAAACGAUGAAGCCACACCCAUCUCUGCAAUUUCUACAGAAAUCUCUCAUGCCAUGCGAAUUGACAAUAAAUAUCACAGGUGUCCAUAGUAGCAAUUACUUUGCAGCCAUAUGUCUGGAAAACUAAUCCCCUCCAAAUAGGGCUAAAGAAAGCAUGUCUGUCUAUGCCACAAAGCAUAAUUUAAAUGGUAAAUAUAACAAUUCUUAGUAUAGUUAUAUUAGCACAAUAUCAAGUUUAAGUGGCUUUAUUGCCAUUUCAACCAUAUACAGUUGGUACAGAACAGUGCUACAUAAACAACACAGAGCUACAGGACACUACACAGAACUAAAUGUGUGCGCGCGCAUGCGUGCAUGGGUGUCUGGGUCAGUGUCAGUCUCUAGGUAUUGAGGAGUCUGACUGCUUGGGGGAAGAAACUGUUACACAAUUUGGCCGUGAGGGUCCAAAUGUUUCGGUACCUUUUGCCUCAUGGCAGGAAGGAGAAGAGUUUGUGUGAGGGGUGUGGGGUCAGUUCUUUAGCCACGGCACCUCCUCUCUGUAUGCUGACUUGUCACUGCUCAUGAGACCCACCACAGCACAGUCUGUUGAGAGCUUGGGACGACAUGCGAACUGCGGGGGCUCCAGUGAGGGGGUAGCAGGGUCUUGAUGUGCCACAUGACAAGCCACUCCAAGCACUUCAUGACGAUGAAUGCAAGGAUAGCUGUUAAGGUAGGACGCUGAAGACUUCAACACGGGGGGGCGAUGAUGGAGGCCUUGAAGCACAUUGGAAUGACAGCGCUGCUCAGGGAAAUGUUGAAGAGGUCAGUGAGAACAUCUACCAUCCAGCGGGUCUGAACAUCCCCUGAGCAUUCUGCCAGGAAUGUUGUAUAAACCAGCAGCCUUCUGUGGAUUGACUCUUCACGGUCAUCCACGACUUCUGGUUGGAGCGUGUGGUGAUGGUCUUGGAGACAGUGACGUCAUCGAUGCACCUGCUGAUGUAGCGGAUACAGCUUGUGUAUUCCACCAAGCUGGUGGAGCUGCCAUCAGUUGCUACCUCCCUGAACAUGUGUCAGUCAGUGUGCUCAAAACAGUCCGGAAGAGCAGAGAUGUCUCUUGCUGUCCAGGUUUUCAUCUGCUUCAGAACCAGUCUGGAGCGUCUAACGAGCGGUCUGUAUGCUGGGAUUAACAUAACAGAGAGGUGGUCUGAGUACCCGGGAGGGGGCGGGGCUCUGCCAGGUUUGUGUAAACAAAAUCCAGCGAGUUCGCGCUUCUCAUCGCAAAGUCCACAUCCUGAUGGAAGUCAGGGAGCGCUGAUUUGGAAUUUCACAUGACUGAAAUGUCCGGCGACAAUAAACAGUCCGUCAGGGUUUGUGUUCCGCAGUAAUAGCCCCCGACAGUUCACAAAGCGCCUCCUUAACAUUAGCGCUGGGGGGAAUGCACACUCCGACUAAACUUCACCAGCGAGGAGCAGUAACUAGAAACUAGCACUGAGUUCUUGCACCAUUCGGGGUUGAUGUAAACACACAAGCCACCAUCGCGAGCCUUACCGCACAAAGUUGCAUUGCUGUCGUCAUGAAACGAGGGGAGCCCGUUUAGCUUUAGCCUAACACGGACCCCCGCCCUCUUGCCACGCUUCUGCUUCCUCGCACAGCGCUUACGACGCCCUCUCCCCCGGACACCGGCAUCACAAGACCCCGAAGACUGGAGGCUUGGUUCCCGCAACAAGCCGAGCUCACGUAACUUCUCCAGCAGACCAUCAUGCAAUCUGGUCAUCGGAUGAUAUCUAUAGUUUAGCAGAAACUGGCGAUGGUAAACACGGACCAUGGUUGCCCCGAUAUCCAUGUGCCGUAUAAUACAAAGGAUUUGAAAUAUUAGAUCCGGUUUAGUAUACUACAGUUCCGGUUCACCGCGAGAUGUCUCCACUGGUGAGAGCUCGGCUUUUUUUUAAAUUCUUUUAUUUCUAGUAGUGCGUCCCAAAUCAACGGUUGCAGGUUUCCUUACGUAACGGAUGGGGAGGGGCUAUAUCAGGCUCAGAUACUGACAUUACCAGCAGCCAUAACCACAACCAAUUAUGUUGAUUUUAAAUUGGAGAAGAUAAGAUGAGAGAAACUUUAUUGAUCCCACACGGGGGAAAUUCCCUCGUUAGAGCAGCUCAAUUAAACACAACAGAUAAGAACACAACAAUUAAACACAACAGAUAUGAACACCUCAUUUUAUGUGCAAAAUUCGCCUGUGAAGACGACUCCGCCUGACUGUGACUGAGGUCUUGUUGGGCAUAAAAGGAAAACAUUAAUAUCAACAGUAAAAUGUAGCAAUUCAUUUUUUUUUAUCCGUUUGGCUAUUUCGCUAGUGCUAGCGGCAUUACAUGCGUUUGACAUAAUAGAGUGGUGCAGGGAUGACGUCAUUGUGUAACGCCAAAACGAGUUAGCAUUUGAACCUUUCCGCUUCCAUCGUCCAGAUGUCAAGGGGUUUUUCGCAUGGGAUUUUGGUUAAAAACCUGAAAUAAGGUCUGUGGUGAACACAAGCUCAAAAUAUUUUCACGUUUUAUUCUACCACAUAAAAUCCACGGGUAAUACCCCACUCAUGAUUUUUUAAAUGCUUUUACGUGUAUUGAAAAAGGCGGUUGAUAAGAUGCUAAAUGGAACUACAGACCCAUUCGGGGGCAUUAAACGUCAUCCCGGUGAACAGGAAAAUAUACUCACUAGUCUGCGUUUACAGCCUCGUGUUCUUGCAGUUAUUGGAUUUGUCAGUUUAUCAAUUUAUAGUAUUUUCAGAAUUGUAGUACAAUAAAUUCUAGAUUAACUAAUUAAUAAUUUUGUCCAGUUUCUAGUGUAGUUAGACAAUGGUUGAAUUUUUUUAAUCUACUUGUGCUAUUAUACUGCUGGUUCUCACAUUCAGGGUGUGGAUGACCAGGUGAAAAAUAGCGAAAACAAGGGGGGGGGGGAGCGACAAUGUAGGGGAAAAUAAACAACUAUUUGCUGAUGCUAACUUCAGGGUUCCGGUACAAUAUGACAUCAUCCCUGCAGCUAUUUGCCCUCGACCAAGAAACAGCACAUAUUUCUGGUUUCCCUGUGGGUCACACUAGACAUGUGAUUGAAAUGACCUCGGACAGAGCAGAGUUCACAGAAGAACAGCUUCUUUUUGUCAUGAUGCACACAAGUAACAAAAUUCAAUCCUACAAGACAGUUUCAUUUGGCAUCACCUUCAGUUUGUGACGACUCCAGUUUCUGGGCCUUGGCAUCUGGCCCAGAGUUCUCAGCAUCUGGAACAAUACACCACAAACACAAUACUAAAACAGUCAAACAACAACAAUUUAAAAAAAGCAGAGACAGAAGGUUGCUUGGCCAACUACCUAAAUGGUAAUCUUCUUAGCUAUAACUCUGACUGUAAUUAGAUAUUACAUUAUAUGGCUUGUUAGGCCCUUGACAGUUAGCAAGCUAACAUGGGAACUUCCUAGAUGAACAUUUUCUUGGCUUUAGUUCAGCUCAGCAGUUAUGUCUAAAAUGACUAUGUAGCAUUUACUAUAUGUACACUGACUGGUGACAAAUUAAAGGAAAAACUGUGACCUUUGUGCCUGGCUUGAGUCACUGCAAAUCAAUAAAAAGUUAUUCUGAAUGAUCAGUUUUUUCUUAUGAUGAAACAUUUCUAUCAUUUCGAUGGAAGUGUUCUCUUCCAGGAUGACAAUGUCCCUAUUCACAGGACAUAAGGACUGAAUAGUUUGAUGAGUGAAAAGCAAUGAAAAGUUCCACCAAUGCUUUUUACCACAAUCAUAAAAACACCAAUUGAGGGACUAUUUUUGAAGAAUGGUGUUCAUCCCUCCAGUACAGUUAUGGAGACUUGUAGAACCUAUGCGAAGGUGUAUUGAAGCCGUUGUGGUGUGUCAUGGUGACUGAACAUCUUUUAAAAAUGCAUUAUGUUGGGUUUUCCUUUAAUUUGUUGCAUGCCGUGGUAACUAUGAAUACACCAACGUUCAUGCCACAGUCAAAAUCAAUGACAUUUUUCCAUAUUCUGAUCAUUGAUGUGAACAUUAACAACACACAUGCACUAAUAUACCCUCUGAAAGGAAAUUCUCUUAUAUCAUGUAAUCUCUUAUAUUAUGAACUGCUAUUAAGACACCUUAGAUACGGGGAAUACUGGGUUAUAGUUUCUGUUUGUGUGUCUCUGUGCUAUCAAAUACCUAUGAUGAAUGUAUUCAUUUAAUUACCUCUUUAAAUAAGCUGAUCAACUGCCAUCCUUUAUUAUAGCUGACACAUGUAGACUUUUUUUUGUAUGACCCUGUGUGCUGUGUGUUUUGUCUAAAUCUGUCUAGCACCUGCAGAAGUUGGAACCCACCUACUACGCAAUGCUGUUAUGAAUGUGUAUAAAUACUUCUGUUUUGCAUGAAGUACAGGAUGUCUCUGUGAGCAUGCAUGUGUCAGUGUGUGUUCAUUUAGACUCCCCAGAUCUGAAACGCUCUGAGGAAAACCACACUUUCUAACUCAUAGCAUACAACUAAGAGUUAAUAGAAGUAAAAAGGCUGAAAAGGGCUGACGAAGGACUGAAAGACAUAAUCUGAGAUUCCUGAGAUACUUGGAAAUCUAACACCCCCUUCACCAAGCACUUAAAUGAGCAUAGAAUAUAUAUAUAUUUUUUUUGUUGCUUUUUUUGCUGUACCAUCUCUUCUCUAAACUGAUCAUUCUAAAUAAUAGUCUAGAAAAUGCAUUUAUUUGAUCAAUGGGUGAACAAUUAUAGGUAAUUGAUUUAUUCUAAUCUUACCUUCUGAUGGCUGCUUAGUCUUUUUUUGAGGCUGCUUAUUUUCUUUUUCU
ensembl:lncRNA